rfam:Lupinus angustifolius cultivar Tanjil chromosome LG17, whole genome shotgun sequence.
UUUCCCUCAGGAUAGCUGGAGCCCGCGGGCGAGUUCUAUCGGGUAAAGCCAAUGAUUAGAGGCAUCGGGGGCGCAACGCCCUCGACCUAUUCUCAAACUUUAAAUAGGUAGGACGGCGUGGCUGAUUUGCAUGUACUCAUUUUCGGAGUGUGUGAAUGUUUUCCUAGGGGUCGAAUCCUAGACUAAAAUCUAGGUCUUUU